rnacentral:lncRNA from 1 species
AGGCAUUCUUCGUGGGCAAACGCAUUUCCUUUUAUUGUAAGGAUUUUUCGUUGUGUGCAACGUUUGGAUUCCCCCGUAUUUAGAAAAGAAACCGGUUUUUUAUCCUCCAUUCCAUGUUUGACAUGUGUCCUUUGGAGAGAAAGGAAUCAAUUUUUUUGUAUUUUUCCAAUCCCAAUCAAUAAGCGUAAGCUGUUAGGAGAUGGGAGGGAGAGAGAUAUUUUUUAUUUUUUAUUUUUCUUUUUUAAUAUAUUUUAAAUCUUAAUUUUGAUUGGAUA